GGAGGCCUUAAGUGGAAACAUUGCUUCCAGAAAUGUUGAAGAGACUUCGGAAGCAAACUCGGAAGUCUCAAGAAGCUCCUGAAUCUGACAAGGCUCCGUUCCCCCUGCUUAGAGCAACCUGUGGAUCCUGAGAGAGGAAGCGAGGCCGGGAGGCUGGAGCGAAAGAGACUGAACAAACAGCAAUUGAGCAAGGCACAAACAGACUCUUGAGGCCGGUUCAGUGAGACAGCUCCUUCAAUGGGAGGAACAAAGGCUUUGAGGGUGAGGAGCGGCUUCCAGAGUGGGCCAUAUUCACAUCUGGGAAGCACUCUGCUAGCA
rnacentral:lncRNA from 1 species